GAUGAACGCUGGCGGCGUGCCUAAUACAUGCAAGUCGAGCGAACGGACGAGAAGCUUGCUCCUCUGAUGUUAGCGGCGGACGGGUGAGUAACACGUGGAUAACCUACCUAUAAGACUGGGAUAACUUCGGGAAACCGGAGCUAAUACCGGAUAAUAUUUUGAACCGCAUGGUUCAAAAGUGAAAGACGGUCUUGCUGUCACUUAUAGAUGGAUCCGCGCUGCAUUAGCUAGUUGGUAAGGUAACGGCUUACCAAGGCAACGAUGCGUAGCCGACCUGAGAGGGUGAUCGGCCACACUGGAACUGAGACACGGUCCAGACUCCUACGGGAGGCAGCAGUAGGGAAUCUUCCGCAAUGGGCGAAAGCCUGACGGAGCAACGCCGCGUGAGUGAAGAAGGUCUUCGGAUCGUAAAACUCUGUUAUUAGGGAAGAACAUAUGUGUAAGUAACUGUGCACGUCUUGACGGUACCUAAUCAGAAAGCCACGGCUAACUACGUG
rnacentral:rRNA from 1 species